rnacentral:rRNA from 1 species
CCUACGGGAGGCAGCAGUGGGGAAUAUUGGGCAAUGGGCGCAAGCCUGACCCAGCAACGCCGCGUGAAGGAAGAAGGCUUUCGGGUUGUAAACUUCUUUUAUCAGGGACGAAGCAAGUGACGGUACCUGAUGAAUAAGCCACGGCUAACUACGUGCCAGCAGCCGCGGUAAUACGUAGGUGGCAAGCGUUAUCCGGAUUUACUGGGUGUAAAGGGCGUGUAGGCGGGAGUGCAAGUCAGAUGUGAAAACUAUGGGCUCAACCCAUAGCCUGCAUUUGAAACUGUACUUCUUGAGUGCUGGAGAGGCAAUCGGAAUUCCGUGUGUAGCGGUGAAAUGCGUAGAUAUUAGGAGGAACACCAGUGGCGAAGGCGGUCUGCUGGACAGCAACUGACGCUGAGGCGCGAAAGCGUGGGGAGCAAACAGGAUUAGAUACCCCUGUAGUC